AAACUGCACACAUUUUGUGAGGUGUCGAUGGUUGACCUUAGCUGAGUUAUAUCCUUCACACUGUGGAUCCAGUGAUCGCUCUCUUUCGAGUGGAUUUUACUAGAAGGGAGAAUUUUCAGAGCGUUAGCGAAAAUUGGCACAAAUGCUCUCACGCUUACUUAAGAUAGCUGAGGAAUUUAACUUGGCAGCAUACAUGACCAAUCAAGUUGUAGCUAAUCCAGGCAGUGGUGUAUUCGUAUCAGACCCAAAGAAACCUGCAGGCGGGCAUGUUCUGGCUCACGCAGCCACAAUUAGGUUGAUGUUUAGGAAAGGCAAA